AAUAAAGAUAAACUUUAAAUUACCAAUACAAUACAAUUACCAUAUUCGAGGAAGAAAAAUGGGUUUUAAGUUUAUUGUCGAAUUUCACAACGAUUCACGAAAGCCUUGUCCAAUUUACGACAUCGAUCUACUUUUUGACUUUUUAUCAAUCAAACUUUAUCAAUAUUAGGGGGAAAAAGUUGAAUUUGUUUAUUUUGGAGGUACUUUUUUUUGCAAACUUGUGCCUUUGUACAUGUCACUGGCGUAAUCUAGCGUUUUGCCUCAAAAUUGUAUUCUCUCGUGGUCCACCACUUCGUUACCGGUCUCCAUUUUAGGUGAUUUAUUCCAGCCGAUUCUCAACUCUCAAGAUCUACUCGCUUAAACAAAAAAAAUUAUAUAAACAUAUAAAUAUUAUAUUGUUAUAUAAAAAUCACAAAAAGCGACUUGAAAGAGAAAAAAAUGGACCGGAGCAGAUAUUAUCCUGGGAUAAGAGAAUAUCAACAUUCUGAGUUUGAUAUUGGUGAAAAUAAUUUAGAUAUUAAUUUACCAGGCAGUUCAAGAGACCAGUUUUUAUCCAGUAGGCAUGAUUCACACUCCCUUCAACAUUUGGAACUAGUGAAUGCCAUUUUAAAAAAAGAGCGAAAGACAUUCAGUAAAUACUUCAAUUAUCCCGAUGAUACAUGUAGCGAUAAGGAUUUUCAAGAAUGCAACGAUGAAAGGACUGGAGUAAAAAGGAAACAGAAAUAUGUCAAUGUGGAUUAUGAAUUGUCUAUGGACAAUGAGAAACUUCCUUUUGAAUCAUAUAUGGAAAGGAUUAAGGAGCACUUAAACCGCUCUCACACUGUCCGCAUCAUUGAAAAAUGUACUUAUGAAAAAAAUGGGCAGAAAAAAUUGUUUCAGGGUGUGCUGAACAAAUUGAAACAAGACAGCCAUAAUUUGAGAACUUUCAUGCAGGUAGUUAAGAAUUCAUCAAUUUCUACUUUAAAAGAAGAAAAUGGGCCCCAAAAGGAUUUAUUAUAUGCAAAUGGAAAAAAUGCAUCGACUACUAAUGAAGGGAAAGAAAUAUUGUCGGGCAGUAAUUUAUCUUCUUACAUGCCUGAGGAAAGUUCGGAUUCUGAUCAUUCUGCAAGUGAAGAAACUGAUAAUAUGCUUGCCUUUGAUAAAAGAAAACCGAUGCAGAAAAAGUUCAAAGGAGUUAAAACUAGGCGUCUCCUUCCAGACAAAGUUGCUAUCAAACAGAAAUCGCUUAUUUAUGGUUUUGGUGCGCAAGUAAGGCAGCUGUCGAAGGAUUUGGAACAAUUUCAUAAAAAGCGCUUUCCAGUUGGCCUCAGCCCGAGGGACCGGCUGCUCUGGCUGCAAGAAAAUCGAGACACAGGGAUUUGGGUUCAGUGUUCUGAUUGCAGCAAAUGGAGAUAUUUGUACAGAGUGAAAGAUGCAUUGGAAAUCAAGCCGUUUUGGGUUUGUUCGAUGAACUCUGAUUUUGAUUUCAACAAAUGUAGCAUUCCUCAGGCGGCCAGUUUUGACCCAAAAGAUCUCAUCGAUGCUGACUACAGUCCUGGCUCUGUUGUGUUAGCCAAAGUAAAAGGCUUUCCUUGGUGGCCGGCUAUCGUUGAUGACAACCCCGAAUGUGAACAAUUUUAUUGGUUAAAAGAAACUUCCAAUGAAGUAGUGAAGUUUCUACCAUGUUGUAUUCUUCGACUCUCGUAAGAAGUGUACCAACGCAUGGGUCGAUCUCGACUCAAUAAGACCCUACAUUGAAACUUUCAUGUUGUGUUUUCCAUUAUCGCGUAACAACAAUUGCUUGUACAAAAGGCGAUUAAAGUUUGCAAAAAUCGAAGCUGAAAAAGCGUUGAAGAUGGAAUGUGCU
rnacentral:misc_RNA from 1 species